rnacentral:misc_RNA from 1 species
UUUCCGUAGGUGAACCUGCGGAAGGAUCAUUAUUGGAUUUUGAAACUUCAGGCUGCUGCUGGCUCUCCUCGGAGGGCAUGUGCACGCUUGUUGUCCAUUAUUUCUCCCACUGUGCACAAAUUGUAGACCUUUCAGUAGGCCUAUGUUGUUCUUCACAAUCUCUGAAUGUAAUAAAAUGGUUUUGAAUCUUGGGAAGUACAAUACAACUUUCAGCAACGGAUCUCUUGGCUCUC